AGGGAACUUGUGAAGCUCUUGGUAAAAGGAGAUUCUGUAUUGCACCAUAAACUUCCACAUUUCCACAUUUGAGAGGGAAGCAAGAAGUUAUAGCUAAUUGGAUGCAUUAUCUACUAUUGCACAGAAAAACGCAUCGUGAUGGUGCUUAUACGAUAAAGGAUUACGUGAAAGGGGGAUAAAGAGGUCGACAGGAUGAAUCCAUGCUUUGCUGUGUGAGGAACAAGGGUUGGAACAUUUGAAUAUAUGGGUUUAAGCUAGUGUUUGAACUUUGUACUAAACCUGUACUAAAGGUCGACAGGCCAUUUUAAGUACCGUAAUUAUUGGCCUACCAUCGUUACAAA